rnacentral:rRNA from 1 species
UACGAAGGGGGCGAGCGUUGUUCGGAAUUACUGGGCGUAAAGGGCGCGUAGGCGGCGACCCAAGUCAGAUGUGAAAGUCCUGGGCUUAACCUGGGGACUGCAUUUGAUACUGGGUUGCUUGAAUUCGGGAGAGGAUAGCGGAAUUCCCAGUGUAGAGGUGAAAUUCGUAGAUAUUGGGAAGAACACCGGUGGCGAAGGCGGCUAUCUGGACCGACAUUGACGCUGAGGCGCGACAGCGUGGGGAGCAAACAGG